rnacentral:rRNA from 1 species
UACGAAGGGUGCAAGCGUUACUCGGAAUCACUGGGCGUAAAGCGUGCGUAGGCGGUUCGUUAAGUCUGCUGUGAAAGCCCUGGGCUCAACCUGGGAACUGCAGUGGAUACUGGCGGACUAGAGUGUGAUAGAGGAUGGUGGAAUUCCCCGGUGUAGCGGUGAAAUGCGUAGAGAUCGGGAGGAACACCAGUGGCGAAGGCGGCCAUCUGGAUCAACACUGACGCUGAGGCACGAAAGCGUGGGGAGCAAACAGG